rnacentral:tRNA from 1 species
GUCAGGAUGGCGCCAGACUCAAGUUCUGGUCUUCGAAAGAGGGCGUGGGUUCAAAUCCCACUUCUGAUA